rnacentral:lncRNA from 1 species
GGGGAAACCUCUUUCACUUGGAUCUCAUUCUGCCUUGCCUGCCACCAUGUAAGAUGUCCCUUGCUCUUCCACCAUGAUUGUGAGGCCUCUCCAGCCAUGUGAAACUGUCUGUGUAGGUUUUUUCUGGCUACUCCUGUUUCCUCCCACAUCCCAAAGGUGUGCCUAUGAGGUGAACUGCCAUGUCUACACAUCCCAGUAUGAGUGAGUGCAGGUGGUGUGCACGCGCCCUGCGAUGGGAGUGUGUCCUAUUCAGGGCUGGUUCCCGCCUUGCGCCCUAAGCUUUGGAGAUAGGCUUCGGCCACCCUCAACCCUGAACUGGAAUAAGCAGAAAACCACAUCUGGUCAGGAGCCCAGUGUGUCCCACUUGGACAAGAAUAGAAAUCUCUCUUCUGGAAUAUGAUCUUCUCUGGUUGGAGCCAAUGGUUUCUUUCAGACCUGAGAUAUCCUGAUGAAGCAGACCACACCUGCCCUCAGAGAUGACCUCAUGAGGAAGCUGAGCUGCAUAACAAACAUCUCUGCUGCUCAGCCACCUCCACUCUUUUUCAACAGACCUUGGAGAUAGCACAGCACCCACACCAAAAAAUCAGGAAGCUCUCUUAUCAGCAAUCUUUCUGUACCUAUGAAAUCAGACAUUCCAGCCAUGGCAGAACCUCCUGAGUGGGCCAGAGCCUCAGAGUCAGGAAAAGCUGGGGCCUAAUGAUGUUUCAAAUCAAAUCACUCUGUAGGGGAUUUUCCAUUUAACAUAUUGUGAUUGUGCAGUAACAUUAGUCUUUGCCAUUUAAUUUAUUAAAUUUUAAAAUCUUAUAAUAUCCUCAACACCGUCUUUGUCUCGAUUUAUACAUAUAACAUAUACAUUUUUAUUACAUAUUACAAACAAUUGAUAUAUAUGAAGAACUCUGUGUGUUUAAAUGCCAAUCACUGGUACACAGGCUCGAGGAAUGUAAUAUCCAGGAUUCAGUCUAGGAAACCAAAGUAAUUCUAGGUACUUGAUUGAAGAAGGUUUAAUAUUUGGAAUUUAAUGUUUUAAAAAUUAUUGAAGAGGCUGGGCACGGUGGCUCACACCUGUAAUCCCAGCACUUUGGGAGGCUGAGGCUGCCAGGUCAUGAGGUCAAGAGAUCGAGAUCUUCCUGGCCAACACAAUGAAACCCCAUCUCUACUAAAAAUACAAAACUUAGCUAGGCAUGGUGGUGCACACCUGUAGCCCCAGCUACUCGGGAGGCCGAGGCAGGAGAAUCACUCGAACCCAGGAGACAGAGGUUGCAGUGAGCCAAGAUCGUGCCACUGCAUUUCCAGCCUGGGCGACAGAGCAAGACUCCAUCCCAAAAAAAAAAAAAAAAAUUAUUGAAGAAGCAGGUUUUAGGCUGUGACUCUUCAAAUGACCCUCAGAACAAUGAGAACCGGCCAGUGGGGGAAUUAUUGCCUCUGAGGUCAACACUGGAGCCAGGCAGUCUAGGUUGGAAGCUCUAGGGACUAACACCCAAAACAUCGAGAUGUGACUGUCCCUGAGACUCAGGAAAUCAAAGAUAAACACUGGAAAAACUUAGAAGAAAUCCAUGACUCUCCUGAACCCACAGUGAAAGACAGAAGCUGUAGGGAGGCCCAGCUUCAGCCCUGGCUCACCUCUUGCUCCACAUCAGGGGCCAGCAAACAUGCACUAGAAAGGGCCAGAGAGUCCAGAUUUGUGGCUUUGUGGGCCAUAGACUCUCUGUCACAGCCACUCCACUCUGCCAUUACAGUGUUGAAACAGC